AUUGCUUCUUGGCCUUUUGGCUAACAUCAAGUGUAGUAUCUGUUCUUAUCAGUUUAAUAACUGAUAUGUCCUCUGAGACAAUCUAUUAAAUGAAAUGAUACGAAUGAACUUACUUACAAAACAGAAAAGAGACCCGCA
ensembl:snRNA U2 U2 spliceosomal RNA